UCUCCAUCAGCUCAAUUUUUCUCCUCUCCUAUGACUCCCACCUCACCCACCACCACUUCUAAGCCCACAUCAUUUUAUCAACUCUUCCAAGUUCCAAAGUCACUUUCCUAACUACAUGCUGAAUAUUUCCAACUGUGUGUCACCAUUUCUUCAAACACAACAGGACUAGAACAGAAUUCAUUACACAAGUUAGGGCCUUCUCUACUAACCUUCCUUCUCCACACCACCUGACUUCUUCUCCUGACUUGUCUCUCUCUCCCUCUCUCUCCCUCCCCCCUCCCCCAUCCCUGUUAUAGGUACCAUUCAGGAGCAAUUCCUGGGAACAGCAACACCGGCAAGGGAACCAGCAGAAAUGAUGAGUGCCACUCGGUCAAGAUACGAGGACACACUGCUUCUCCCUGUUGCACUGCCCCUCCUCUGGCCUCCAAACUGAGCUCGGUAUUGGAAGCAACAAGUAACAUCUCCAAUAAAAAGUCACCUCUAAGUUGUCCAGACUUAAAACAUUUAAAAGCAAAGACAGGAUUCAGGAGUUAAUGAAAGAAAAGGAGCUUUGCCGAGGACUUCCGGAGGAAGCUGUGAUUCUUACUCAAUGGGCAGCAUAUCUACCUGGAUCAACAAAUUUCACUCUCUUCAUCAGGGAAACCUGUGCUUUGAGUCCUGCCACCAACACAUAUUAACUUUGUAAACUCAGACACCCCGCUCCACCCACCCCAGUCAACAUCCUCAGAGAAAAGGCUCUUCAAGAUUCUGGAAUUGAUCACAGCAGAUGCAGCCUUUGCUCAGGAUUUUUUUAAGUGAUGGCUCACCAAUCCCUGAAACCAGAGGUGUUCUCCACGUCUCAGCAGAUAACUCCAUGACCAGGGGUGAGCCCCAAGAAGAAGAGGAAAGUAUUAGGAGGACAAAGCCUGUUCCAGCAUCUUUACUUAAUCAACAUUUACUAUGUGCCAUGCUCUGGGCCAAGCACUAGCUAUCAAAGAUGAAGAAGACCUAUGUCCAGAUAUCAGAGUUCUCGCAGCUCCUUUGGGAGAUGGACAUAGGCCAUCUACCUCUUACAUAACGUGGUUAAUACAAUGACGGAGAACACACAGGGGCCACAGAAGAGGACCAAAGCCCCUAGGGAAGGCAGUGGUCUCAUAGGAUACAAAAGAGUUGAGCAGAUGGAAGGAAUUGGGAAGGACUUUCUAAGACAGAAGAGAAAAGUCAAGUGAAGCCCCAGAGGAUAAGAAGCAGCUCGUGUAAAAAGGAGCUACUUGUAGUUCUGUGUUGCUGGCCUGUCAACUAUAAAUCACUGUAAGCCAGAUUUUUCCUCUCCUGUACUUGAGAAAUUUUGUUUAGAACCUAAGUAAAGGUCUUUACAUUGA